GGGAGCCUCGGAGCGCUUUGUCUCUGCCGAGCUAGUGAGCUUUGCUCCAAAACCAUCGUUCAGGAAGUUCAGAGGCUAUGCUAAUUUCUGGAAGAAAAAUGAUGCAUAACUUAGUUUGCAUACAAGCUUAAUGGUAUGAUUUAGUGAUGAGAGGGAGGAAUGAAGCACUGGUGGUGACAUGGACUGUAACCACGUCGCUGUAGUUUAGACUCCAGGCUAUGCUGAUCGAUAAGAAUACAUCCUCCUCACAAAUCAGAAUCUACACCAGAAAAGUCUGAGGCCUCUGUAUCCUUGAGUAAAGACACCCCACACCCCUCUACCUGUUCCAGUCCUCUCUGGGUGACAAGCCCGUUCAAGGGAAGGCUCUGACAGUCUCAUUCAUGAGGCCAUGUUGUCUGUGUUAAUUAGACCACCUUCAUAAGAGAGUGUGGCAUCCUGUGAGGACAUGCACAUUUGUUCUAAACCUAAGCAGCAUUUAUUACAGCUAGAACUGUCUUCAGUGAGAUGUAUUUCAGCUGCAGUUUUUACUGAAUAAUACAAUUAUCUGCUAUUGUACCACUUGGUGUAGGCUAAAGAAUUUUUCUCCACAAAUCUGAAAGUGAUUAGAACUGUAAGAAUACAUUCUCAUAUUGUUGUCAUUAUUAUUUAGAAAUACUAACUUCCUUCUUUGGACACA